GACGAACGCUGGCGGCGUGCCUAACACAUGCAAGUAGAACGCAGUUGCGAACGGGUGUGUAAAGCGUAGGUAACUACCCCAUAGCGGGGGAAAAACAUUGGAAACGAUUGCUAAUACCGCAUACUAUGAGAUGGACCUUCGUUGUAUUAGCUAGUUGGUGAGGUAACGGCUCACCAAGGUGACGAUACAUAGCCGAGCUGACAGGGUAAGCGGCCACACUAGGAAUGAGAAUCGACCCAGACUCCUACUGGGGGCAGGCGUAGGGGCAUAUUGGAAAUGGACGGAAGUCUGACCGAGCAACGCCGCGUGAGUGAAGAAGGUUUUCGGAUCGUAAAGCUCUGUUGUUAGAGAAGCGGUAACUAACCAGAGAGGGCCGGCUAACUCCGUGCCAGCAGCCGCGGUAAUUC
rnacentral:rRNA from 1 species